UCUACAUAUUUCUUUUUUAAAUCUAAUAUUAAAUUAUACUAGAAAAUGACCGUUUGUACAAAUUAGUGAUUCGUGUGACUGAGAAAAAUUUAAAGAAAUGGAUAAAUUAACGGUUUUAGACGUGAAACUUGCUUUGAAGAUCUCUGGAAUUUAAGUCGAGUAAGAAUCCAUAUUUGAUACGCCUUGUCAUAUCGUCUAUCUCCCAUUCAAUAGUUGUAAUCCUGUUGAUUUAUCGAUCCAUCUUGUGAUAAGAGUCCCAAAAUGUGGUUUUUCACCGUGUCUUCUCCCGUUCCUCUCCUUCCAAAUUGUAUAAUCGGUGGUUUGUAACGCAUAACGAGAGAAAAAGGAUUUAAUUUCGUUAAAUACAUUCGAGUUUUGUAAAAUUUAACACUGUAAAAAAUGUUUCCAUUGGUGAC
rnacentral:sRNA from 1 species